CUGUCUCUUGCUUCAACAGUGUUUGGACGGAACUG
rfam:Myotis davidii contig78798, whole genome shotgun sequence.